rnacentral:sRNA from 1 species
GUUGUCUAGGCUAAUCUCGAACUUCUUCUUAGCGAUCUUUCCACCUCGGCCUCCCAAAGUGCUGGAAUUACAGGUCUGAGGCACCACACCUGGGUUCCAUGUGCUUUCUGCACACACUUGGGAGGCAGGUGGGAGACCCUGGAUCCAGAGCUUGUGGGUGAUGCUGGCUUUCUCCUGCCCUGGGGAUCAAGACGGGCACCAGUGCCCAAGGGCACAGCCUGUGCCACCCGCUGCGGAUUUGCAGCGGUGCAGAAGCAGGGCUGGGAGGCCCUCUGCAGAUGUGUCUGUCUUAGUGAGGCCUCCCCAGGGGGCUGUGUGGGCGCUGGGCCAAGCACUUCCAUACCACAAGCUGGUCACAGUUCAGACCAAGCAGUGCAAGGCACGUCUGCUGGGUGCCAGGCACAGUGGUGCCCCAUGGGGUGGCCCCACUCCCGGCCUGGCUCGUGCCUCCUGUGGGGAAGCAGAGCAACUGGCUCGGGGCGGGAUGUGGUCAGACCUGGAGGCCGAGUGCUAUGGGUGCCGCGCUCCUUCCCAGGCCCUCACCCCUCCUUCUCCACCCAGGAGUCGUUCACGCCUACUGAGGAGCAUGUGUUGGUGGUGCGCCUGCUGCUGAAGCACCUGCACGCCUUUGCCAACAGCCUGAAGCCAGAGCAGGCCUCACCCUCCGCCCACUCCCACGCCACCAGCCCCCUGGAGGAGUUCAAACGGGCUGCUGUCCCGAGGUUCGUCCAGCAGAAACUCUACCUCUUCUUGGAGCAUUGCUUUGGCCACUGGCCCCUGGACGCAUCGUUCAGAGCUGUGAGUGUUGGCUCCGUCACACGUGUGCCUGUGUCCUCUGUGUGCCUUGAGGUGGGAGGUCCUCUGGGGCAGAUAAAGGAGGAGAGCAAGUGUUAUCACAGAGGCCUUGGCAAGGACGGGGUCUUGGAGGGCCACAUUGUUCUUUCUGUUUGAGUUUCCAAAGCCAGCCCUCAGGAAAGCCCUGCCCUGUCCCACCUGUCUGGUGCAGGGCAGGUUCCUACCCUUACCUGACCAGGGAGUACUCUGACCCCUGGGCUGGGAAAAGCCCACCCUGGCUUCUGGAGGGCCAGCAAGAGAGCCAAACCUCACAGGGCUGUGCAUGUCUCUCCUGCGCCCUCUGGAGGAAGUGAGAAGAGUCAGUCCCACCCAGCUGCCGCCUGGUAUCUGGGCUCCAGGCCACCGGAGUAUUUGGCCCCCAGCCACUGAGCCCUUAGCACACACCUCCCCCACAGGUCCUGGAGAUGUGGCUGAGCUACCUGCAGCCGUGGCGGUACGCGCCUGACAAGCAGGCUCCGGGCAGCGACUCCCAGCCCCGGUGUGUGUCGGAGAAAUGGGCGCCCUUUGUCCAGGAGAACCUGCUGAUGUACACCAAGUUGUUUGUGGGCUUCCUGAACCGCGCGCUCCGCACAGACCUGGUCAGCCCCAAGCACGCGCUCAUGGUGUUCCGAGUGGCCAAAGUCUUUGCCCAGCCCAACCUGGCUGAGAUGAUUCAGAAAGGUAAGUCCACAGCCUGGGCCAGCCGGGUAGACGUCAGCCCAGCCAGACCAGGGCCAGGCCCUUAGCUGGGGGUGGCUGGUCUUUAAGAGGGACCCACAUGCCCAGAGUGGGCCCCGGCAAAGGGUGCUGUGGAGACUCCUGGGACACAUCUGUGCGGUGAAGUCUGAAACUGGCUGGAUCCUGCCUGCCCUGCAGCCACCAGGCACUGGGUGGGGGAUCGCAGGUGUGCCCACAGAGCGGGGCUGCACGGUCCAAGCUGCGGCCCCGUGACCCCGCCGUUUCUCCCUGGCAACUCGUGGUGGCCGAUUCAGGAGGUGAGCCUGGUCUCUGCCUUGCAUUCAUCCUGGCUGGGUUGGGCGUUGGUUUCUGUCGAUCCUCCUGUUGUUUAUCUCCUGCAGACACUGCUAGGGCUCUGUGAGCCAGCAGCUCCCCAUCCGCCCUCCCAUGUCAGCCACCUACUGUGUGGAGAUGCUGCCAGCAGGCCUCAGGAGACACCCUGGUCAUGCUCCCAGACACCUCAAGACACCCAGAAUCCUAAGGGCAGCAGUGGGUACUCUGCCCCGGGAAGUGGGUGCCAGGUUCGUCUCCUGCCUUCUAGGUGAGCAGCUAUUCCUGGAGCCAGAGCUGGUCAUCCCCCACCGCCAGCACCGACUCUUCACGGCCCCCACAUUCACUGGGAGCUUCCUGUCACCCUGGCCACCAGCGGUCACUGAUGCCUCCUUCAAGGUGAAGAGCCACGUCUACAGCCUGGAGGGCCAGGACUGCAAGUACACCCCGAUGUUUGGGCCCGAGGCCCGCACCCUGGUCCUGCGCCUCGCUCAGCUCAUCACACAGGCCAAACACACAGCCAAGUCCAUCUCCGACCAGUGUGCGGAGAGCCCGGCUGGCCACUCCUUCCUCUCAUGGCUGGGCUUUAGCUCCAUGGACACCAACGGCUCCUACACAGCCAACGACCUGGACGAGAUGGGGCAAGACAGCGUCCGGAAGACAGAUGAAUACCUGGAGAAGGCCCUGGAGUACCUGCGCCAGAUAUUCCGGCUCAGCGAAGCGCAGCUUAGGCAGUUCACACUCGCCUUGGGCACCACCCAGGAUGAGAAUGGAAAAAAGCAGCUGCUUGACUGCAUCGUGGGUGAGAACGGACUCAUCCUUACGCCCCUGGGGCGGUACCAGAUCAUCAGUGGGCUGCGAAGGUUUGAAAUUGAGUACCAGGGGGAUCCGGAACUGCAGCCCAUCCAGAGCUAUGAGAUCGCCAGCUUGGUCCGCACACUCUUCAGGCUGUCGUCUGCCAUCAACCACAGAUUUGCAGGACAGAUGGCGGCUCUGUGUUCCCGGGAUGACUUCCUCGGCAGCUUCUGUCGCUACCACCUCACAGAACCUGGGCUGGCCAGCAGGCACCUGCUGAGCCCUGUGGGGCGGAGGCAGGUGGCCGGCCACACCCGCGGCCCCAGGCUCAGCCUGCGCUUCCUGGGCAGUUACCGGACGCUGGUCUCGCUGCUGCUGGCCUUCUUCGUGGCCUCUCUGUUCUGCGUCGGGCCCCUCCCAUGCACGCUGCUGCUCACCCUGGGCUACGUCCUCUACGCCUCUGCCAUGCCACUGCUGACCGAGCAGGGGAAACUGCACCAGCCCUGAAGGUGUCAGCUGCCUUCAGAGCAGGCUGGAGGGAUUUGCCACACAGCCCCACCCUUGGGCUGAGAGGACCUGGGAAGCCCCUCCAGGAGGGAACACGGUCAUCCUCGGGCUUCUGGAGCGGGGUUCCUGCAGCCACAGAGGCAUCUGGAGGAAACGCAACCAAGAAGGGAAGGCAGGUGGGCCCCAGCAAAGGAGUGGCUACCAGGGCUCAACAGCCACGCUCUGUGACAGUGCAGAGCUCAGCGCCGGCCUUUCCCUCCCUCCGCCAAGGACUCAUGCCCAAGCCAGCUCUCGGGGCCUUUUUUCCAGUGCCCAUUUGGCUACUCUGCUGCACCAAGCUUGGGAGCCAGCCUGCCAACACCCGCCUGGGCCUGGCCUCCCCACUGGCUGGCCUUGAGGUGGGCAGAGUGGGUUGUGGCGCCUCCUCUCUCUGUGUGGGACCAGGACGGUGGCUCAAGUCUCCACUCCAGGAAAGAAUCAAAGUUUCUAGAGUUGUGAGAAAACUAGAGAGUGGCUGUCCUGAUUCUUCACCGUGAGGGGCGUUCUUCGUGUUCUCCCAGCUGUUCCAAGACUGGGCCGUAGAAUUCCAUGUUUCAGGAGCCUAAGACCCUCCCAGAGCCCAGGUGCUUCACCACAGACCCCAAGCCAUUAAGCACAUCACCCAAAGCAGUGGCCAACAUCGCGGACCCCUGUGCCUUGUCACAGAUGGGUGCUGGUCCUCAGGCGUUGGGGACACUGCUGGGUCGAUGGGGUCGGAUUCUGCCAGUUUCUGCUCUGCAGCCAAAGAUGGUCAGAAGCAUUGUCACUUCAGUAACAUCAAGUGCUCAAAGACAUGGCAACCGUUCAGUGGUACUUAAGUAUUCAAAAUAUACAACUACAGAUUCUCUGACAGAAACCAGCACGGGGUCUUCACCUUCAUUCACCCCACAGACGACCUGCGAGGGAGAACAGCAUCUCAGUGGUGAUUUCCAAACCAAGCCUUUGUUUUCGGUGUGGGGUUUUGGGGGUUUGCUUUAAUGUUUUUAAAAUUGUAAAUGUUGGGCUUUGUAUUUUGAUGUAAACUGAGAAUAAUGGCAUUUUAGGGCCUGUGACCAAAAAUCAAGCUUGUAACGACCAUGGAUCUGAAUAAACCUGUCCUUGCUUCUG